rnacentral:rRNA from 1 species
UUUCGCAAUGCCCGAAAGGGUGACGAAGCGACGCCGCGUGGGUGAGGAAGGCCCUCGGGUUGUAAAGCCCUGUCAGGAGUUAAGAAAAGUAAGUGUGCUAAUACCAUAUUUAUCUGACGAAGGCUCCAAAGGAAGCCACGGCUAACUCUGUGCCAGCAGCCGCGGUAAUACAGAGGUGGCAAGCGUUGUUCGGAAUUAUUGGGCGUAAAGAGCACGUAGGUGGGUUUGUAAGUCAGAUGUGAAAGCCUUCUGUUCAACGGAAGAAUUGCAUCUGAAACUGCGAAUCUUGAGUGUAGGAGGGGAGAAUGGAACUUCUGGUGGAGCGGUGAAAUGCGUAGAUAUCAGAAGGAACGCCGGCGGCGAAAGCGAUUCUCUGGCCUAUUACUGACACUCAGUGUGCGAAAGUCAGGGGAGCAAACGGGAUUAGAUACCCCGGUAGUCCUGGCCGUAAACGAUGGGCACUAAGUAGAGGGGUUUU